rnacentral:rRNA from 1 species
AGUGAACGCUGGCGGUAGGCCUAGCACAUGCAAGUCGAACGGCAGCACAGUAAGAGCUUGCUCUUACGGGUGGCGAGUGGCGGACGGGUGAGGAAUACAUCGGAAUCUACUUUUUCGUGGGGGAUAACGUAGGGAAACUUACGCUAAUACCGCAUACGACCUACGGGUGAAAGCAGGGGAUCUUCGGACCUUGCGCGAUUGAAUGAGCCGAUGUCGGAUUAGCUAGUUGGCGGGGUAAAGGCCCACCAAGGCGACAAUCCGUAGCUGGUCUGAGAGGAUGAUCAGCCACACUGGAACUGAGACACGGUCCAGACUCCUACGGGAGGCAGCAGUGGGGAAUAUUGGACAAUGGGCGCAAGCCUGAUCCAGCCAUACCGCGUGGGUGAAGAAGGCCUUCGGGUUGUAAAGCCCUUUUGUUGGGAAAGAAAAGCAGCAGGUUAAUACCCCGCUGUUCUGACGGUACCCAAAGAAUAAGCACCGGCUAACUUCGUG